rnacentral:rRNA from 1 species
GACAGAGGGUGCAAGCGUUGUUCGGAAUUACUGGGCGUAAAGCGCGCGUAGGUGGCUUCGUGUGUCGGUUGUGAAAUCCCUUGGCUCAACCAAGGAAGUGCGCCCGAAACUGCGGAGCUCGAGUUUGGGAGAGGAUGGUAGAAUUCUCUGUGUAGAGGUGAAAUUCGUAGAUACUGGGAGGAACACCGGUGGCGAAGGCGACCAUCUGGACCAACACUGACACUGAUGUGCGAAAGCGUGGGUAGCAAACAGG